GAAAGGAGAGAAGGGCGCAUGAAGGAUGCCUAGGCUCUCGGAGGCGAAGAAGGACGUGACAAGCUGCGAAAAGCCGCGAUUAGGAGCAAAUAUCCGUAGAAUCGCGGAUGUCCGAAUGGGGCAACCCGCCGGAGGCGACUCCGGCAUCCAUCGAAGAUGGAGGCGAACCCGGGGAACUGAAACAUCUAAGUACCCGGAGGAAAAGAAAACAAACCAGUGAUUGCGCAAGUAGCGGCGAGCGAACGCGCAUCAGCCCAAACCGCAUACGUGGCAACGCGUAGUGCGGGGUUGUAGGACCGUCGACAAACGAACAGUCAGAGGUUAGCGGAACCGUCUGGAAAGUCGGGCCGCAGCGGGUGAAAGCCCCGUACGCGAAAACCGCUGGCCAUCGGAGGCGGCACCUGAGUAAGCCGGGACACGAGAAAUCCUGGCCGAACCCGCGGGGACCAUCCCGUAAGGCUAAAUACUACCGAGAGACCGAUAGCGAACCAGUACCGUGAGGGAAAGGUGAAAAGAACCUCGAACAGAGGAGUGAAACAGACCCUGAAAUCAUGCGCCUACAAGCGGUCGGAGCCACCGAGUGUGGUGACGGCGUGCCUUUUGCAUAAUGAUCCUACGAGUUGCCGUCGCCGGCGAGGCUAAGUGCCAGGGAGGCAUGGAGCCGGAGCGAAAGCGAGUCAGAACAUGGCGCGCAGUCGGCGGGGGCAGACGCGAAACCAAGUGAUCUACCCUUGGGCAGGUUGAAGGCGGGGUAACACCCGCUGGAGGACCGCACCGGUAAGCGUUGAAAAGCUUUCGGAUGACCUGAGGGUAGGAGUGAAAGGCCAAUCAAACUUGGAGAUAGCUCGUACUCCCCGAAAUGCAUUUAGGUGCAGCCUCGGGCCGAAUACCGCGGAGGUAGAGCGACUGAUAAGAUGCGAGGGCUUCACCGCCUAUCAAGUCUUGACAAACUCCGAAUGCCGCGGCAUGCUACCCGGGAGUGAGGGCGUGGGUGCUAAGGUCCACGUCCGAAAGAGGAACAACUCAGACCACCGGCCAAGGCCCCCAAAUACGGGCCGAGUUGAAGCCAAUAACGAGGUGGGAUUGCAAGGACAGCUAGGAUGUUGGCUUGGAAGCAGCCAUUCAUUUGAAGAGUGCGUAACAGCUCACUAGUCGAGUGAUCCCGCAUGGAUAAUAAUCGGGCAUAAGUCCGUUGCCGAAGCCGUGGAAUGCAGCGUAAUGCUGCAUUGGUAGGGGAGCAUUCCGGCAGCCGCAGAAGGUUGGGCGUGAGCCCAGCUGGAGGCACCGGAAAAGCAAAUGUAGGAAUAAGUAACGAUAAAGGGGGCGGGAAACCCCCUCGCCGUAAGACCAAGGGUUCCUGAUCAACGCUAAUCGGAUCAGGGUAAGCCGGGGCCUAAGUGGAAGCCGCAAGGCGCACACGAUGGACAAACGGUAAAGAAUCCGUUGCCCCGCAGUCCCAGUGAUGUGGAGACGGAGCAGUGACACACCCGCGUGCUGACGGAAUAGCACGUUGAACCGCGUAGGUAAACCGAGGAGAGGCAAAUCCCACCACGGUGCUGAAACGGGACAGUACGGAGCGCCCCCGGGCAAUCCGACAGCGGUGGUAACCAUACUCCCGAGAAAAUCCGCUAAACGCUAUAAAGGGCUGCGGGCCCGUACCGCAAACCGACACAGGUGGUCGGGUAGAAUAUACCAAGGCGCUCGAGAGAUUCACGGUUAAGGAACUAGGCAAAUUGACCCCGUAACUUCGGGACAAGGGGUCCCCUCCUCCGGGAGGGGCGCAGAGAAUAGGUCCAGGCAACUGUUUAACAAAAACACAGGGCUGUGCGAAGUUGAAAGAUGAAGCAUACAGCCUGACACCUGCCCGGUGCCGGAAGGUUAAGAGGAGGCGUCAUCGCAAGAGAAGCGCUGAAUUGAAGCCCCGGUAAACGGCGGCCGUAACUAUAACGGUCCUAAGGUAGCGAAAUUCCUUGUCGGGUAAGUUCCGACCUGCACGAAUGGUGUAAUGAUCUGGACACUGUCUCAACCGUGAGCUCGGUGAAAUUGUAGUAUCGGUGAAGAUGCCGAUUACCCGCAACGGGACGAAAAGACCCCGUGAACCUUUACUGCAGCUUUGCAUUGUGACCGGGUGCUCGAUGUGUAGGAUAGUCAGGAGGCAGCGAAACAGCCACGCCAGUGGUUGGGGAGCCGACGUUGAAAUACUGACCUUCGCGCAUCUGGUCUCUAACGCCCUGUAGGGCGGACAUUGCAUGGCAGGUAGUUUGACUGGGGUGGUCGCCUCCAAAAGAGUAACGGAGGCUUCUAAAGGUGCGCUCAGGCCGAUUGGUAACCGGCCGGAGAGUGUAAUGGCACAAGCGCGCUUGACUGGGAGACCAACAAGUCGAUCAGGUAGGAAACUAGAGCAUAGUGAUCCGGUGGUUCCGCAUGGAAGGGCCAUCGCUCAAAGGAUAAAAGGUACUCCGGGGAUAACAGGCUGAUCCCUCCCAAGAGCUCAUAUCGACGGAGGGGUUUGGCACCUCGAUGUCGGCUCGUCACAUCCUGGGGCUGGAGAAGGUCCCAAGGGUUGGGCUGUUCGCCCAUUAAAGUGGCACGCGAGCUGGGUUCAGAACGUCGUGAGACAGUUCGGUCUCUAUCUGUUGUGGGCGCGGGAGAUUUGCGAGGACCCGACACUAGUACGAGAGGACCGUGUUGGACGGAGCACCGGUGUACCGGUUGUGGCGCCAGCCGCACCGCCGGGUAGCCGCCUCCGGCAAGGAUAAGUGCUGAAAGCAUCUAAGCACGAAGCCCCCCUCAAGAUAAGAUCUCCACAUAAGGGCCGUCAAAGACGAUGACGUCGAUAGGUCGCAGGUAUACGGGCGGCAACGUCCUCAGCCGAGCGAUACUAAUCACCCAACCCCUUUCCGCA
rnacentral:rRNA from 1 species